AGUUGGUCUGAGUGCAGUGGUGUUUACAACUAAUUGAUCACAACCUGUUACAGAUUCCUUUGUUCCUUCUCCACUCCCACUGCUUCACUUGACCAGCCUUUA
rnacentral:Y_RNA from 1 species